AAACCAAUCUUUCUCCUCCAGGAGGGCACGUGGUUGUGGACUGAUGGAUCCAAAUUCAACUACAGAAUCUUCAAUGGUGGGCAGCCGGACAACACCGGUGGAGUGGAGAAGUGUCUUGAGAUGAACUUUGAAGGAAAGAACUGGAACGACUUAACUUGUAGUACCUACCAGGCUUGUUUCGUGUGCUCCAUGAACCUGUGUGUGUAACUCUACCACACCAUCAUGAUGCCUCUACAGCUCAUCUAUAAUCUCUAUCAUUGAUUCACUUUCAGUUUGUUCAGUAGACAGAAACAGCUCUCUGCUGACAGAUGACUCUCUUUCACUUGUUUAUAAUCUGAAGAGUUAGGGAACAGUUCACAUUUGGGUUUAAAAUUAGACAGAAACUGGCUCACUGAUCUGGA